ACGAUGCAGAAGCUGGGGGUGGAUUGUGACCGAAUGAAUGAGGUACAGGUGGUGAUUGACACUCCUGACCACCAAUCAGUAGCGAGCAGGCACUAUUUAGAGCGGGUUGGUUUGAGCCUGGCAUGCGUCACGUCCGUAUCCUCCCCUUUUCCGGCUGCUAUAGUGAUUUCAGCCUGUCGUUUCAGUGUGUGUCCCUGUUGGAUGUUGUUUUGGAUCUGUUUACUGCCCUUCCUGCAGUUAAACAGCAGGUUAUUUGAAGGCUGCGUAUCCUGAGCGGUGAAUUGAUUCUCAGGAACUUAUCUAUCCGCGUUUGGAUCCUCCUUUUUCGUCCUGGGUGAUUAUUGCUGCAAUUCGACUUUUCCCUCGCUGCAUGCCGAGUGAACAACCUUGGCUUACAACUAUUUAAAAGGGGAAUGACCAUCCAUCAUAUAACGGUGGAAUUGUGACCUUAAUUUGCUGUUUCCUUCAUUUUGUCUGAGAUUUAUUUUGCUUUUGGUUUCUUUCAGGAGCUGGGGUCCCACGGGUGAAGGGUCUUUGGUGGUGCUAUUUCUACAUUUGCCGUGCGACACUUUUGACGUGUAUGAGUGGGUGCACUGAGUUCACGGUGAGGUGUGUGUGUGUGUGGGUGUGGAAGUGUGCUUUUUGAUAAUUAGUGCUGAUCACUCUGGUGGGUAACCCCAGCCCUGUAUGUAAUGAUUUUAUGUUUUGUUUAUUUGGAAAUUGUGUAAAUUUAUUGUUUAAUAUUUUGUGUCUGAUUGUUUAUUUUUUUGUUAUUUGUGUAAUUGUCAUCGGACCAUAUUCACCAGCGAGAACAUUUUCUUUUUGUUUUUAUAUUUUAAAACCAAGUUUUCAAUAAACUCUGUAUUGUUUUAUACGA